CAAUAGCGUAUAUUUAAGUUGUUGCAGUUAAAAAGCUCGUAGUUGGAUUUCGGUUAAGAGCGACCGGUCCGCCGUUUGGUGUGCACUGGUUGGUUUUAACUUCCUGUAGAGGACGUGCUCUGGGUUUAACGACCUGGACUCGGAGUCUACGUGGUUACUUUGAAAAAAUUAGAGUGUUCAAAGCGGGCUUACGCUUGAAUAUUUCAGCAUGGAAUAACACUACAGGACUCCUGUCCUAUUUCGUUGGUCUCGGGACGGGAGUAAUGAUUAAGAGGAACAGUUGGGGGCAUUCGUAUUUCAUUGUCAGAGGUGAAAUUCUUGGAUUUAUGAAAGACGAACUUCUGCGAAAGCAUUUGCCAAGGAUGUUUNCAUUA
rnacentral:rRNA from 1 species